UACGAAGGGGGCUAGCGUUGCUCGGAAUUACUGGGCGUAAAGGGCGCGUAGGCGGUCAGCACAAGUCAGUUGUGAAAUCUCCGGGCUUAACUCGGAAAGGUCAACUGAUACUGUGCGACUAGAGUGCAGAAGGGGCAACUGGAAUUCUCGGUGUAGCGGUGAAAUGCGUAGAUAUCGAGAGGAACACCUGCGGCGAAGGCGGGUUGCUGGGCCGACACUGACGCUGAUGCGGCGAAAGCCAGGGGAGCGAACGGG
rnacentral:rRNA from 1 species